UACGUAGGGUGCAAGCGUUAUCCGGAAUUAUUGGGCGUAAAGAGCUCGUAGGCGUUUGUCGCGUCUGCUGUGAAAACUGGAGGCUCAACCUCCAGCCUGCAGUGGGUACGGGCAAACUAGAGUGCGGUAGGGGGAGAUUGGAAUUCCUGGUGUAGCGGUGGAAUGCGCAGAUAUCAGGAGGAACACCGAUGGCGAAGGCAGAUCUCUGGGCCGUAACUGACGCUGAGGAGCGAAAGCAUGGGGAGCGAACAGG
rnacentral:rRNA from 1 species